rnacentral:rRNA from 1 species
CAGCCUCCGCGGUAAUACCGGCGGCCCGAGUGGCGGUCACUAUUAUUGGGCUUAAAGCGUCCGUAGCCGGGUUGGGAAGUCCUCCGGGAAAUCUGGCCGCUUAACGGUCAGAAUGCCGGAGGAUACUCCCAGCCUAGGGAGCGGGAGAGGCCGAGGGUAUUCCCGGAGUAGGGGUGAAAUCCUAUAAUCCCGGGAGGACCACCUGUGGCGAAGGCGCUCGGCUGGAACGCGUCCGACGGUGAGGGACGAAGGCCAGGGGAGCAAACCGGAUUAGAUACCCGGGUAGUCCUGGCUGUAAACGAUGCGGACUUUGUGUCGGACAAGCUAUGAGCUUGUCCGGUGCCGGAGGGAAACCGUUAAGUCCGCCGCCUGGGGAGUACGGCCGCAAGGCUGAAACUUAAAGGAAUUGGCGGG